rnacentral:rRNA from 1 species
CCCUAUGGGGUGCAGCAGGCGAGAAAACUUUGCAAUGUGCGAAAGCACGACAAGGUUAAUCCGAGUGUUUCCUGCUAAAGGAAUCUUUUGUUAGUUGUAAAACCACUAUCGAAUAAGGGGUGGGCAAGUUCUGGUGUCAGCCGCCGCGGUAAAACCAGCACCUCAAGUGGUCAGGACGAUUAUUGGGCCUAAAGCAUCCGUAGCCGGCUUUGUAAGUUUCCGGUUAAAUCUAUAUGCUCAACAUAUAGGCUGCCGGAAAAACUGCAUAGCUAGGGAGUGGGAGAGGUAGACGGUACUCGGUAGGAAGGGGUAAAAUCCUUUGAUCUAUUGAUGACCGCCUGUGGCGAAGGCGGUCUACCAGAACACGUCCGACGGUGAGGGAUGAAAGCUGGGGGAGCAAACCGGAUUAGAUACCCGGGUAGUCCCAGCUGUAAACGAUGCAGACUCGGUGAUGCAUUGGCUUGUGGCCAGUGCAGUGCCGCAGGGAAGCCGUUAAGUCUGCCGCCUGGGAAGUACGUACGCAAGUAUGAAACUUAAAGGAAUUGGCGGGGGAGCACCACAAGGGGUGAAGCCUGCGGUUCAAUUGGAGUCAACGCCAGAAAUCUUACCCGAGGAGACAGCAGAAUGAAGGUCAAGCUGAAGACUUUACCAGACAAGCUGAGAAGUAGUGCAUGGCC